rnacentral:rRNA from 1 species
GUGGCGAACGGGUGAGUAACACGUAAGUGACCUACCUGUACGACGAGGAUAACUACUGGAAACGGUAGCUAAGACUGGAUAGGAUAUAUACUUAAGGGUAUAUAUUUAAAGGAUCCUUUAGGAUCGCGUACAGAAGGGCUUGCGGCGCAUUACCUAGUUGGUGGGGUAAAGGCCUACCAAGGCGACGAUGCGUAGCCGACCUGAGAGGGUGACCGGCCACACUGGGACUGAGAGACGGCCCAGACUCCUACGGGAGGCAGCAGUAGGGAAUCUUCGGCAAUGGACGGAAGUCUGACCGAGCGAUGCCGCGUGAGUGAAGAAGGUCUUCGGAUUGUAAAGCUCUGUGAUUAGGGAAGAAGGCUAUUAGGAGGGAAUGCCUAAUAGGUGACGGUACCUAAUUAGAAAGCCACGGCUAACUACGUGCCAGCAGCCGCGGUAAUACGUAGGUGGCGAGCGUUGUCCGGAAUUACUGGGCGUAAAGGGUGCGUAGGCGGUCCAUUAAGUCUGAUUUGAAAUACCAUG